CCCUUAGACGUUCUGGGCCGCACGCGCGCUACACUGACCAGUGCAACAAGCAUCCGUCCUUGGCCGACAGGCCCGGGCAAUCUUUGAACGCUGGUCGUGAUGGGGAUAGACUUUUGCAAUUUUUGGUCUUCAACGAGGAAUUCCUAGUAAACGCAAGUCAUCAACUUGCAUUGAUUACGUCCCUGCCCUUUGUACACACCGACCGUCGCACCUACCGAUUGAAUGGUCCGGUGAAGCCUCCGGAUUGGCGCGCACCUCGGUGCCGCCGAGAAGUUGGCUAAACCUUACCAUUUAGAGGAAGGUGAAGUCGUAACA
rnacentral:rRNA from 1 species